rnacentral:rRNA from 1 species
GACAGAGGGUGCAAACGUUGUUCGGAAUUACUGGGCGUAAAGCGCGUGUAGGCUGCUUGGCAAGUCGGAUGUGAAAGCCCUGGGCUUAACCCAGGAAGUGCAUUCGAAACUUCCAAGCUCGAGUCCUGGAGAGGGUGGCGGAAUUCUCGGUGUAGAGGUGAAAUUCGUAGAUAUCGAGAGGAACACCGGUGGCGAAGGCGGCUACCUGGACAGUGACUGACGCUGAGACGCGAAAGCGUGGGGAGCAAACAGG